AGCAUGAAGUCGAACACAUCUGAAAGAUGUGUGGGCUGCCUGCACUCAACGUUUCGAUAAUUCAGUAGAGUGUAACCUCAAUCGGUUUUUGCAGCUUCUGGGUGUCGUGUCGAACGAUCGCAGAACGAUUUUUUGUUCUUUUCCAACUCGAUUUUUAACCCCCUAAACUAGUAGGAUGUUCCAACGGGUGAAGCAACAGUGCUGACGGCAGAGUUUCAGUGUCAAUUUUUCAUGCCAUGAUCACUGGGGCGGAAACCAUUAUUACGUUGCCUUGGACAUCAAACUAAACCAUCUCAUUUUGGCUUUUUUCUAACAUCGAAAUCUCAGAAGGCCAGGACUAAGAUGGACGCAGCCUCCACAUGCAACCUUGCAUUUGAGGAACACCCAUAGAACGGUCAACUUACCCCAUACUCUAACCUGAAUGCAGGGAUCAUAAAACUUUAUAUUUUACCUUAAUUGUUAGAUGGGUGUUGAUACCAAACUUUUUUGUCUCGUCUACCCAGGAGAAAGUCAUGGGUUCUGCUGCUGAGGUUGUCAUAAAGCAUGCUUUUUCCAUUUGUUGCAUUGGGCAAUAUUAUCAAAAGAUUCUGAAAGAAAUAAGAUAAUUUUCAAAGCAUUAACAUGAAUAUGAAAGCAUUAAGUCAUUAAUGACCAUCUUUUAUUAUUGUUUAUUUAUAGUGUCUUUUAUUCUGCUUACCUGACUCAUGCAGAAUUCUGGCUUGAUGUUUGGUCCACCUGUUAGCUGGCUCUGGUGCUUGGUAGUCUUCUCAAACCUCUGAAUCAAGGCCACCAUGAGAGGCCUUCUGAAGACCAUCAUUACGCUUCAGAUCCAGUUGUCUUUACUUUGAGCCUACCACAAUCCCUGUGCACCAGCUAUGGAAAGUGCAGACCAAACUUCUACCUCCACCUAUAGAACUGAACUGGAGUCUGUGAACUAAUGCUGUGUUCGAGACAACUGGAACAGCAAACAAAAUCCUUUCUCUUUUUAAUGCAGCACUUAAGGAUGAACCACCCUGAUCUACUAAGAUGCACAGAUUCAACUCUGGCCCAGCAUCAUCCCCACACCUCAUCUGCCAUCAGUUUAAUUUAAUGUCUGUCAAUUGCAAAUGCUAUUUAUUUCAGUUAUAUUACAACUUAAUGUUAACUUUAAUUGAGACUAGUAUUGUGUAAAGCUGGGGUUUCCAAACUUUUCAUAUCAAAACCUAUUAAACAAGUGUAAUCUAUUCUACACCCACUAAAAUAUUUUUA